CGUGAGAUGUUGGGUUAAGUCCCGCAACGAGCGCAACCCCUGCUUUCAGUUACCAUCAUUAAGUUGGGGACUCUGAAAGGACCGCUGCGGUAACAACGCAGAGGAAGAUGGGGACGAGGUCAAGUCAUCAUGGUCCUUAUGACCGGGGCUACACACGUGCUACAAUGGUAGUUACAGAGGGGAGCGAAGCAGUGAUGUGGAGCGAAUCUCAGAAAAGCUACCCAAGUUCGGAUUGAGGUCUGCAACUCGACCUCA
rnacentral:rRNA from 1 species